rnacentral:rRNA from 1 species
UACGUAGGUGGCAAGCGAUACUCGGAAUCACUAGGCGUAAAGCGCAGGUAGGCGGUUCGGUAAGUCUUUUGUGAAAGCUCCCGGCUUAACUGGGAGAGGCCAAGGGAAACUGCCGAGCUAGAGUGUGGUAGGGGAUACUGGAAUUCCUGGUGUAGCGGUGAAAUGCGUAGAUAUCAGGAGGAAUACCUAUGGCGAAAGCAGGUAUCUGGGCCAUCACUG